rnacentral:rRNA from 2 species
GAGCGGCGAACGGGUGAGUAACACGUGGGUAACCUGCCCUGUACUCUGGGAUAAGCCUGGGAAACUAGGUCUAAUACCGGAUAUGACCUGCCUCCGCAUGGUGGUGGGUGGAAAGUUCCGGCGGUACAGGAUGGACCCGCGGCCUAUCAGCUUGUUGGUGGGGUAAUGGCCUACCAAGGCGACGACGGGUAGCCGGCCUGAGAGGGUGACCGGCCACACUGGGACUGAGACACGGCCCAGACUCCUACGGGAGGCAGCAGUGGGGAAUAUUGCACAAUGGGCGAAAGCCUGAUGCAGCGACGCCGCGUGAGGGAUGACGGCCUUCGGGUUGUAAACCUCUUUCAGCGGGGACGAAGGGCAACUGACGGUACCCGCAGAAGAAGCACCGGCUAACUACGUGCCAGCAGCCGCGGUAAUACGUAGGGUGCGAGCGUUGUCCGGAAUUAUUGGGCGUAAAGAGCUCGUAGGCGGUUUGUUGCGUCGGCUGUGAAAACUUCACGCUUAACGUGGAGCCUGCAGUCGAUACGGGCAGACUUGAGUUCGGCAGGGGAGACUGGAAUUCCUGGUGUAGCGGUGAAAUGCGCAGAUAUCAGGAGGAACACCGGUGGCGAAGGCGGGUCUCUGGGCCGAUACUGACGCUG